rnacentral:rRNA from 1 species
GAUCCUACGGGAGGCAGCAGUGAGGAAUAUUGGUCAAUGGGCGGGAGCCUGAACCAGCCAAGUCGCGUGAGGGAAGACGGUCCGAUAGAUUGUAAACUUCUUUUGUCGGGGAGCAAAGAGACCACGUGUGGUCAAAAGCGAGAGUACCCGAAGAAAAAGCAUCGGCUAACUCCGUGCCAGCAGCCGCGGUAAUACGGAGGAUGCGAGCGUUAUCCGGAUUUAUUGGGUUUAAAGGGUGCGUAGGCGGGACGGUAAGUCAGCGGUAAAAAUGCGGAGCUCAACUCCGUCGAGCCGUUGAAAAUGUG